rnacentral:rRNA from 1 species
AACGCGAAGAACCUUACCGAGGCUUGACAUCCUGCGAAUCCUGCCGAAAGGUGGGAGUGCCUUCGGGAACGCAGUGACAGGUGCUGCAUGGCCGUCGAAAGCUCGUGUCGUGAGAUGUUGGGUUAAGUCCCGCAACGAGCGCAACCCUUGUCGUAUGUUACUUUUCAUACGAGACUGCCCUGGCAACAGGGAGGAAGGUGGGGCAGACGUCUGGUCAGCAUGGCCCUUACGCCUCGGGCCACACACGUGCUACAAUGGCCGGUACAAUGAGUUUGCCAAGCCGUAAGGUGGAGCUAAUCUCAUCAAAACCGGUCCCAGUUCGGAUUGAGGGCUGAAACUCGCCCUCAUGAAGUCGGAAUUGCUAGUAAAGGCGAGUCAGCACAUCGCCUUGAAUACGUUCCCGGGCCUUGUACACACCGGUACUA